AACAUAUAUUAAUUCUAAAACUACCAAAGCGUGAUUUAGGCAAUACAUUUAAAUAUAGGCUUUACUAAGUGACAGUCUGCUGUUAUGAUGUAGUUCAGUUUCACAAAAUUGGUAUUUUUUACUUCUUUAACCAUGUUGUUAAAGGACCAGUGUGUAGGAUCGUGGCAUUCCUAGCGGUGAAGUUGCAGAUUGCAACCAACUGAAUACUGCAUGCCUUCCUAGCAUGUAGGAGAAACUACGGUGGCCACAAAACUCAUGAAAACUGUUAAAGGCCCUAUCUAGAGCCAAUGUUUGGUUUGUCCAUUUUGGGCUACUGUAGAAAAAUGGCAGCCUCAAACCCACUCCCUCCAUAGAAAAAAAUGUGUCUUUUCUAAAAUAACAAAAAAUAAAUACAAAUAAAAAUAAACUCCACUUUGGUAGAUGUACCAAAGUUUUUAAAGGACCAGUGAGGUCCAAAGCAGAGAGCACAUUUGUGAUGAUAAAUGGGGUUCAGCUUUGGGUAAAUUUGGCACUGAUCUUGGAGGCACUUAGUAAUAUGAGAACACUCAGUUUGCUUCGUGGCAUGAGCUGAUGCAUUAAAAGUUAUGCCAGAGAUGAAUGGCAGGUUCAUGCUCUGCAACCCUCCCCUUUAGUAUUUCUAGUUGUAGAUGAAGACCAUAGAAACCAUUCACCUUGAACCAUUCAACUUUUAAACAUGGUCUCUUUAUUUGAUUUGGAUGUUGUGGUUUGAGAUCAGUAAAUGUCAAAACUCCUGAAUAUGUUUUUAAAAUAUUGUUUUAUCUGCUUUGUGUCCAUUGGAAAGUGAAAGUAUUUAAACAGUGAGCUGUUUUGUUGCAGUUGAAACUGUGAUUUAAAAUCGACUUUUGUGUCACUAGAUGAGGUAAGGUUUGAGAAGGUCAUACUCUGCAUAAUUAGUCGUCAUUUGUCUCUCUGCUAAAAGCAUGUCAUAGUAAAAUAAAGAGCUGUUUUCAUGCCAUUUCCCCUGUGCCUAUGACAACUUGUGGCAGGAAGUUGUUUUAAGCCUCGAGUAGUGGUCUCAACCAGCUCCAGACAGCAAAAUGAAGGUUGAUGACCUUACAGUACGUAUCGCACAUAUAGAUUUCUUUCUGUAACAAUCACAUGCAAUGUAUAGAAUCACUUUUGCUACAUGUCUGUGUGUUUCCAUGUGUUGGAAACAUGUGCUCGUAGGUGGAUGUGGGAAUGUCAGUGACUCUUUCAGGUGUUAUUAGUUAUUUAUUCCUCCUUUUGUGUUUUGAUAUGAAAAGCUUUAUGAAAGUAGAACAGAAAUGAAAGCCCUCUCUAUCCUUUUCACUCCCCUGCUCCACUCCUUCUGACAGAGGAUUAAAGAGCUCGUCUUCUCCACUGCAGUCGAUGUUUCUUCUCUGUCUAAAUCUCAGCCGGCCUGCUCGUCAUCCUUUUUUUUUUCCUCUCUCUCUCUCUCUGACUCUUUUCAUACUCUCCUUUUUCCCUCUCUCCUGCCAAUCUUCUUGUCACCUUUUUUCCUCCACUUGUAAGCAGUGAAACUACUUCUCUUUGUUUUUCUGAGUGGGAGUAAGUGCGUUCGCGCCCAUGUGCCAAGCAAAUACAUUGGCAAGUGCGUUUAUGCUGUGUGAUUGCACCCAGUUUGAGUGACACUAAAGAGAGCUGGUGCUGAAGGGCUCAUCUUUGCCUCUAUUGCAUUAUUUAAUAUUGCAUAUAUAUGCAUACUAAUCCAGAUUACAGAACCUAUACUUUGUGCUGAUCCUAUUUAAUUUAGCUGAUCUAUAGUUUCAUGUCUGUUUAGCAUAUUGAUAUUUAAAAGUUACGAAGUUAAAGCAAAGUUUUUGAGAUAGCAUUUGAAAUGAAAGAAAAAGGUGGUGUCUGACGUGCUGUCUCACUGGGUUUCCAUUUAAUAUUGUUGUUUUGUAUUUAUGAAUCAGGGAAAAUACAGUUGAAUGGAAAAGCAACCUUUAUUUCCUGCAGAUGUAGGUUGAUGCAGGUUUUUUUGUUAAAAGUAAAAUAUAUCACAUCAUAAUUACACAUUUUUGUACCAUAAUUGUUUUGGUUGUCCUUUAUAAAGUCCAACAUAUAGUAAAUACUAUGCCCAUGCAUUGACACUAAGGAAACCAGUGUAUGUUGUCUGGACCAAACAUAAUUUUUCAUUUUUCAGCAAUCAGUAACCCCCAAAGGCUCUGAAUCUCUGGUUGUUAUGAACUGAAAUUCUCUCCAAUUCACAGUCUGUUAUGGAUAUGCAUACUAUCCCAAUUCCAUACUACAUUUUACUUUGUUUUAUUUUAUUUUAUUUUAUUUUAUUUUUAUUCUAUAUACCAGGGACCAACGCACAUUAAUCCACAUUGCAGUUUACACUUCAAUGUAAAUGUACCCGUGUUAAUUGAAUAAGCUAAUAUUCAGCCAUAGUCCCUGGGCAGGUUAUAACAAACUAGUGCCCAACAGCAUCAGUACAGUGCUUCAACAAGUACUACAAGAACAAUAAAAUACAAUAUAUUACAUAAUACAUUACAAAAGUGACAGAGAUAUAUAAAAACAGUGAGAUUAUGUAAAGUAAGAUUACUGAUGGUACUAUACUGACGGUAUACAGUGUGUACUAUAUGACAAACUAUUCCAUCUCUUAAAGUGUUCUUUUUUUAAUGUCUGUAUCAUUUUAUUCCUUUUCAUUUUUCUUACUUGUUUCUUUCACACAUGUAUACACUAACUUUCUCACUCAACACAUGAGGCUGUCUCCAUGUUCACACGAAUCUCACUGUCCAAUUCUCUUCCUCUAUUGGUCCCUUUAUCCCACACAUACACAAACAUCUCACAGACACUUGAGAUAUUCUCUGUAUGUUGCCUCAAAGCUCAGCUUCUCUCUCUCUCUCUCUCUGUCUCUCACACACACACACACACACACACACACACCUCCCUCUUUUCACAGCAGCCACUGGCCGCCUUUUAUCUCAGAGUCAUCGUGUCUGUGUCACUCGUGCGUUGUUGUUUGUGUAUGCACUUUUACGUGUGUGUGUGUGUGUGUGUGUGUGUGUGUGUGUGUGUGUGUGUGUGUGUGUGUGUGUGUGUGUGUGUGUGUGUGUGUGUGUGUGUGUGUGUGUGUGUGUGUGUGUGUGUGUGUGUGUGUGUGUGUGUG